AAAAUAUUGUUAUUAGCUGUAUUGAAGCAGUGUUUCAACCAAGUGACAAAGGUAGCUGCAUAAUUACAAACAUACUCUGCCUUGUAAAUUUGUUCGUCUUAUGAUAAUUAUAAAUUAUAGCAGUAUAUCAGAAUCCAUAUUGUUUGUCAAGAAUAAAGGGUGUGUAUCAACAUAUAUCUACAUUGGCCAAUAUCUCUUCAAUUGCAUCUCCAAGAGUUGUCGAAUCAAGUUCUUUCGUUCCAACUCUUUCUCAGGAAUAAAGGAUGUGUAUCAGCAGAAAAUGAUGUGUAUCUCUUCACUUUCAUUUCCAAGAGUUGAUGAAUCAAGUUCCCCCUCUAGUUAUAACUCUUUCGUCUUUUUCUGAUACAUCUUUAGUUACAACUCUUGCACCAGCUAAGUUUGCCAUCAAAGAAGCAUUGAGCAAUAUCUAGUGAUGAUGUCUGCAAAUUCCGAAAGCGAUUAUGAGUUUUCCUUUGAACAAAAAAUAUGCAAAUCUAGGGACAUUAAGAACCUCAUUAAUACAUGGUUGAUAGCGGGCAUGUUAGAUUCACACAGAAGACAACAUACAACACGAAAACAGAAGCAAUAUCUUAGGUCUUAUUAUGAUCAUAUCAUGAUGUUAAUAAUAAAAAAAAGAUUAUAUCAUGAUAUGCUCUAGUUCUACAUCAGAAUUUGAAAACUGAACUUACCAAAAUGGAUGGCGUCCCAGUUGCCAAGAUAUCAUAGAAAGUCAUUGCAGAAGGUCGCGGAACCAUUAGGUCUUGAGCUGCAUACGCCAAAUCCAUUAUAUGCAGCCUUCAAUAUAUCGCGUCACCAACAAACAAAACACACGUUCACUCUUUUAUCAUCAUAGUUUCUGUUUAAUUGGUACUCAUAUGCCUAGUUAUGUUGGGUUUCUUUCUAUUGCAUCUUCACCUCUACCUAUAGAGACCACAAAUGUACUGUCCUGGUACCUAAAAUAUAUAAAAAAUCAUAUUUAAUAUUCAAGUGAAAGGUUAGUUGAGCCAAGUCCAAAGCAAAGUAUUGAGAAGUAAAAGCUUACACAAAAGGAAGAAAGUGAAUCAGGUUUCGCAAGUCAUCAAUGGAAAAGCCAAUAUCGUCAAGAAAAGCUUGAAAGUCCCGUGUUUUAGUGUGAGAAAAGCAAAAGAUUACAAUUAAUAAUAAGAGCCAUAAGAAACUUGAGCAGGGGAAACAAAAGAUUACUAUGAAAGUAAACUAUUCUAGGACAACCAAUUGUCAAUCAACAGUUUCCUAUAUGAAUUGAUUUGAAAAAAUUCUCAUGGCAAUAGACUGAGAUUCCUUCACCAUCAGCUGCAUGAGUAACUAAGAAUGACAUGUAAAAGACAAUUAAUACCUUGUUGUUGAAGUUCCAUCAUCCCCUCAUACGGGGCAAUCCUCAUCAUUACCUACAUCAAUGCAAAACAACCUCUCCUUCUCCUUGAGCAAUAUGUUUUUGUGCAGAUCCCAUGAAGGACAUAAGCUGCAGAAUCACCAUGAUCAUAUUUUUGAGAGAUUUAAGAAUGAGCUAUAUAAUGAACACUGAUCGAAAUAGACUAAAACGAUAUUAAAUUUCACAUAUACAGACCAAAUUAUAGUAGUAAAUAUCAUUUUCCACAUGUGAAUGAAAUUUUGGGAAUAAAAAAAAAAAAGAAAUUUUUUUUGCAAUUAUUUAUAAACUGGAUGAAAAGGGAGUUGAAAAAGGAGCUAAAUCACAAAUUAAUUGGAAGGAUUCGCAAGCUUACAAAGAGACUUUGGAAGCAAACAAAUGCAUAUGGAAGCCAAUGUCGGCAACAGAUUCAAUACGUUAAGAUCAGUUCUUUUGGCCAGUGAUUCCAAAUCUUAUAUUUAUAUAAGACAGCUUUCUGAAGUUGAACACACGAUAACAUACUUUUCACACUCCA
rnacentral:lncRNA from 1 species